GACGAACGCUGGCGGCGUGCUUAACACAUGCAAGUCGAACGGAAAGGCCCUGCUUUUGUGGGGUGCUCGAGUGGCGAACGGGUGAGUAACACGUGAGUAACCUGCCCUUGACUUUGGGAUAACUUCAGGAAACUGGGGCUAAUAUCGGAUAGGAGCUCCUGCUGCAUGGUGGGGGUUGGAAAGUUUCGGCGGUUGGGGAUGGACUCGCGGCUUAUCAGCUUGUUGGUGGGGUAGUGGCUUACCAAGGUUUUGACGGGUAGCCGGCCUGAGAGGGUGACCGGCCACAUUGGGCCUGAGAUACGGCCCAGACGCCUACGGGCGGCAGCAGUGGGGAAUAUUGCACAAUGGGCGGAAGUCUGAUGCAGCAACGCCGCGUGCGGGAAGCCGGCCUUCGGGUUGUAAACCGAUUUCGCCUGUGACGAAGCGUGAGUGACGGUAAUGGGUAAAGAAGCACCGGCUAACUACGUG
rnacentral:rRNA from 1 species